GGGAAGAGCCUGGGAGGGGGCGGGUCAGUGUCUGCCAUGGGACACUGCCAGAGGCGGAGAUAUUGAGAAUAUUAAUAUUCAUUGAGGACUCUUGUUACCCCUGAAGGGGUGGGACUGUACGUGAACUAGCUGGAGAACUGAAUCACAAGUAGUACACUGCUGCAAAAACUGUUUGCAGGGUGUGCUGGAAGAGAAGACCCUGCUAUGCCAUUCUGGAUUGUGCUGGCUGAGCCAGUUCGGCUAGGUGAGACUGAACUGGACUCCAUGGGACUCAGUGCAGGAGCAAGGGUCUGCCCGCACACAAGACGCAGGAUCAGAGCCCUCAUCCUAAGAAGCUACAUGUACAGGUUUGUAUCCACUUUGAAAAUCUUUCAGAUCUACUA